rnacentral:rRNA from 1 species
AUUGAACGCUGGCGGAAUGCCUUACACAUGCAAGUCGAACGUCAGCACGGGGGCAGCCCUGGUGGCGAGUGGCGAACGGGUGAGUAAUACAUCGGAACGUGCCCGGUCGUGGGGGAUAACGUAGCGAAAGUUACGCCAAUACCGCAUACGAUCUGAGGAUGAAAGCUGGGGACCUUCGGGCCUCGCGCGAUCGGAGCGGCCGAUGUCAGAUUAGGUAGUUGGUGGGGUAAAGGCCUACCAAGCCGACGAUCUGUAGCUGGUCUGAGAGGACGACCAGCCACACUGGGACUGAGACACGGCCCAGACUCCUACGGGAGGCAGCAGUGGGGAAUUUUGGACAAUGGGAGCAAGACUGAUCCAGCCAUUCCGCGUGCAGGACGAAGGCAUUCGGGUUGUAAACUGCUUUUGUACGGAACGAAAAGGCUCUGGCUAAUACCUGGGGCUCAUGACGGUACCGUAAGAAUAAGCACCGGCUAACUACGUG